rnacentral:misc_RNA from 1 species
GAAAUGCGAUAAGUAAUGUGAAUUGCAGAAUUCAGUGAAUCAUCGAAUCUUUGAACGCACAUUGCGCCCGCCAGUAUUCUGGCGGGCAUGCCUGUUCGAGCGUCAUUUCAACCAUCAAGCCCCCGGGCUUGUGUUGGGGACCUGCGGCUGCCGCAGGCCCCGAAAACCAGUGGCGGGCUCGCUGUCACACCGGGCGUAGUAGAUUUUUCGUCUAGCCCAGGGCGUGCUGCGGGUUCCGGCCGUUAAAAAGCCUCUCUUUUAACCCAAGGUUGACCUCGGAUCAGGUAGGAAGACCCGCUGAACUUAAGC